AUGCUUAUGUCCCCUUCAGUGUCCUGGUGACAAACGCCACAUGAUACGAAGACACACAGCACUUAUGUGCUUGAGAGAGGAAUCUUACUGGGUGGAUUGAAAAGAUUGCAGGACUGUGACAAAGACUUUAUGUUCACCUACACACACGAUCCAAACUAUGGCCCGUUCCUGCAGAGUGUGAACGGUCUGGCUGGAAAUCCCGAAGAACAUACCUACUGGGAGCUCCUGAUCAGGAAAACCAGUGGCCAAAUCAUCAGACUUGAUGUUGGCAUUGGAUGUUACAUCCCCAGUGAAAAUGAGGAAAUUAUCCUGAACUACAACUACAAGUACUGAAAAUCAAGAUAAUCAAAAUGGGACCAGAUUCAAGUGUAUCACUGUGUUUUUUUAUCACUUUGUAUUUCAUAAUUAUUAAUUUAAAA